CGUCCUCUGUUGCUCUCUCUCAAUCUGUCUACCCAAAUACAAAUCAACAGAGUGGAACAUCCUUCAAUUCAAUUUCCUCUUCUUUUCUUGAUUUCUUCUUGUAGAUCUCUGUGUUUUCAUUAUCAUCUCGUUUUCUGUUUUCUCUUCUUUUUCUUCUAUGUGUUUUGAGAGGAAAAAUAAAGGUUUCGAGAUCGAGAGCGAAAGGGAUUGAUCGAAGAAUAGUUGUUGGUAGUGAUGCUGAUAGGAGUGGUGGAUUCAGAUUCAGAAGAAAAGUUCUGAAGAUAUAAUUGAUUACGAUGUCGAUCUAUCUUACCUUCUUCACUCACAUCUGAAUGAUUUGUUACCAAAAUUUGAUGAAGGCGCUUGUCAAGCUCAGACAUACAUGUUUAAGUACGACAAUGUCCACGGUCAAUGGAAGCACCAUGAACUCAAGGUUAAGGACACUAAGACUCUCCUGUUCGGUGAGAAGGAAGUUGCAGUCUUUAGUUGCACAAACCCUGAGGAGAUCCCAUGGGAUGAUACUGGAGCUGAAUACAUUGUUGAGUCAACUUGAAUGUUCACUAAGAAGGACAAAGCUGCUGCUCAUUUGAAGGGUGGAGCCAAGAAGGUUAUCAUUUCUUCUCCCAGGUGCAGUAGAAAUGCGCUGGGUUGAUACUUACUUUCCAUUUACGAAGCCAUCAUUUGAACUCGAGAUAUUUUUUCAGGAGAAAUGGUUGGAGGUUUUGGGUUGCAGGGUGACUGAGCAGAAGAUUUUAAAAGAAGUGGUAACGUGGAUAAGGUUGCAUGGGCACUGGGGCUCGAACGACUUGCAAUGGUUCUUUUUGAGAUACCUGACAUAAGGCUGUUCUGGACUUCUGAUGAGCGGUUCACGUCACAGUUUGACAGUCGUGUCAUGUUGGUGUUACAAGCUUUAUAUUGAUUCACACGUAAACACAGCAAAGUUCUUGUACACAGAUUAGAAGCGUUUCGGAUAGCAGCAAAGGCUAUCGAUUUACACCGCCAGAUACACCAUAUUAUGCAAAGUGUUACGGGUAAAUAUUGGUGUAGCAAGGCCUUCUUUGUUUUCCUUUUGACUAUAUUAUCUUUGAGAUUGAUCCAAUUUUAAACAGAGUUGCCUUGAGCUUGUGUUCUCUGUGACUGAGAAUGAAUGUAAAAGAGUGUUUAGGUACUUAUUAGAAUUUGAUACUCAAUAUGAAAUUUUUGGUACUUCGAAGAAUCUGUGUUCUUUCUUCAUAUGAAUUGAUUUAAUGUUGAUAUGAAGUGAAAGAAUGUUGAUAUGAAUUGAUUGAAGUAUUCUGGAAUGAAAGAUUUA